GGGAUGUCUGCGAGGCCCUGGGCUCCUAAUGAGUGGUUUCACAUAUAAGGGCAAUGGGUUCAGUUUUUGCCUUAUUGUUGGAGUCUCUGGCAACUGCACUUCCCUGUUAACCCUUGCUACGUUUCCAAGGUUUGAAGAACAAAAGUCACUCAAAAAUCAGUGCAGGGGAAAUCCAGCCUUUUGUUUUGGACUAUCUCCACCUUUCUGUGGCCUCUUUUGAUUACAUUUAUAUUCUACAGCAACCUCAUGGAUGUUGAUCUUUAAAGUCCUUUUCAGAGAAAAAGUGAUAAAAAGAAACCUUCAGAGUUGGAGAAUUGGGCUGGAUGUGCUAAGAAGACCCAUCCGCUCCCAGGCAAAUCUUCAUGGCACAGCAGGAUUUGCUGGUAGUGUUUGGAUACAGAUCAGGAAUCAGCCCUCAAAGUUGGUAUGGAACUAACUGAGGAAAAGUGGAGUGAGAAGGCAGAGUGGGGUAUUGAAUCUUGGGAGAUGACAACUCCAGGAGCAAGAAUAUUAUCUUCUUAGCAUGGCUGCAUCUCCAGCAUAUUGAGAAAACCCAGCUGAGCACAUCUAAGCCAGAAGAAUAAAAGGUAUCAAUGAAA